AGCAAGUUCACACGUCGAUUUCAUACAUUUGUCGUGAUGAUCUUAGCAUACAAAUGUAUUAUGAAACAUCACAAAUUUGAAGUAAACCAAUAUUUGUAACAUACAUUUUUGACUUAAAGAUUCGUAUCAAUUUGCGUUACAUUCCAUUGUCUCUGCCUACCCCCAUAGGAGACAGACGCAACAGUUAUGUACAUACGUAUGUAUGAUUUAAAAAAGUCAGUAUCCCUAUUCCUUAAUUACAAAAGAGACUAUACAAUCCAACAGUUACAUGUAUGCAUGUAUAAUCGUUGCUACUAUCUAAUAGUGCCCACAGUAGUGAAAUCCGUGUUAGAGUAGACAAAAGCCGGGCUGAAGCUGUGGGACGUGUGGUGUUAGCCCGUUUCUGCACACACCGACUGCACUGUGUUACACGACGCGACGCCUAAUGAUCCAGCAAUCAUUGCACACUCGAAUGUUUGACGACAAUAUUCUGAGGUACCGAUUUUAAAACGAUCUAUCGUUUAUUCGAUAAAUAAUCGUUAAAAGUAUUAAAAGUCAGCAAUCAUUGCACACUCGAAUGUUUGACGACAAUAUUCUGAGGUACCGAUUUUAAAACGAUCAAUCGUUUAUUCGAUAAAUAAUCGUUAAAAGUAUUAAAAGUCAACAAUCAUUGCACACUCGAAUGUUUGACGACAAUAUUCUGACGUACCGAUUUUAAAACGAUCAAUCGUUAUUUGAUAAAUAAUCGUUAACGGUAUUAAAAGUUGGCAAUAUCGUUUCUGAAAUGUUUACUUAUACUAUAUUUUUUAUAGUUAUGUAGCUGUUUGUCUCAUUAGCUAUUGAGAGAAAAAAAUGAAGGCCUAACCGUUUCCUAAUGAUGUACUUAUAAUUUCACCUAUUCAUCAUUUCACGGAAAUUAAUAACUAUCCUCAUGAUUUGAUUCGUCCGAAGACCAGUUUUCCAACAAAAAUGUGAUUAAAUAACCACAUAUUUCAAAGUCCAAUGUACAAGCAUAAUUUUCACAUAAAUUCAAGGCGUAUUUCUAGUGAAAGCAUUUGCAUAGAACCACGUAAGAGGCAUGUUGUGCGACGCCGUAUUUUAUUAAUGAGAAAUGUUAAGGAGCAAUUGUGUAACAGAAACAUAUCAUGAUUAGGAGUGAAUAAGUAUAAACAAUUAUAUAAAUGUUGUCAAAAUGGAGAGGUUACUGUCAUUCAGUUUAUAAUUAAUUAUUAAUGUUUAAAUUGUAUUAAGUGUGUCUCAAUGUUUUCUGAAACCGAAAAGGUUGAUGAAAACUGUAAUGAAUGUCAUUGUAUAAAUGAUUUAAUUUAUAAAAUAAUAUCAUAUCUAGCAAAGCUUAAAGCGUAUAUGAUGUAGAUAAUUAUAAUGUGUGUAAAACUUAUAAUGUGUAAGUAAAGCUAACGUAGUGAAAUAAAUUUCAUUGAUAAAUCAAUGGAGUCAUAAAUUAUCUCUGUCUUAAAUGUAUUGUGUUUGCAUUUGAUCAAUGUCGAUAAUAUAGAAUAUCUCUGCUCGAUGUUUUCAUAUGAUUUUAAAUUAUACAAAUAAAAACAAAAAAUUAAUAUAAUCAGUAAUGCCAUUGAGAUAAGGUUCAGAAUUCAUUUAUUAUUUUUAUGAGUGAGUUGAUCAAAUUCAUGCUUCGAGCAAUUAAAUAGUAAUCAACAUAAAAUAAAAGAGGUAUAAUUACACUAAAUAUAGAUACAAGACUUGGCUUGAAAAACGAAAGUGUUAAUAAUAAUUAUGAAAAAUGGUCCUAAUAAUUAUUAUUUAUUAAGAUUAUAUAUUAUUUGCAGUCACGAGAAUUCGACCAUCGCUUUCUUGGUAAUAUAAUCGACUCUGCUUGUCAGGCGUAGAAUAUUCCUAAUACCUAAUUGUUUAAUCCUAUAUGUAGUGUGACCUAAAAUUGUUUAAUCCUACGACUUUAUGUAAAUUAGAAACUGCAUUGAAAACAGAAGAUGAUUUACUGUAUUUUCUAUAUUGACGAUGUAAUUCAUGCAGGCUAUUGAUGUCUUCCUUAUUGCUAUACACUCUUUAUAUAAACUUUAAGUCCUAUUGUAAGUUAGAUUUUAUAUUGUAAUAGAUUUAAUAGAAUUACUGAUACAUUCGACGUUUCUUUUUAACGUAAAUAUAAAGUCUAUGUUGCUUCAUAGUGACGUAUUACCGAUUUAAAAUGUUCCGUUCACUGCGUCGCUAGUAUCUUCGUGAAUAAAAAUGCAUUGGUAAUUUGUUGACGCUUCUUUUAGUUCCAAUUUUCACCACCUGAUCAGAUAAGUUGGUGGCGCUAUAAAUAUUGUCAAUUACGCAUAAGUAUUGUAAACAAAAAUCAUUGCGUAAUUAUAGGAUUUUAUUAUUCAUACAAUUUACCCUCCCUUUAGCAUAAGUUGUAUAUAAAUGUGAUUGUAUAUUACGAUGGUAAUUUUUGUGAAAUAUAUUUUAUUCGAUUCACUCUAGUUGAUAACUUCCUCAACUACUUAUUUUAUAGUUUGUGAGAUAUUACACGAAGAGUAAAACGUUCCGGGAAAUUACUGGGCGCGGGAAAUGUGCGGCGUUUCCAUGUAAACCUAUCACGUAAGGGGAUUUGAUAGCAUAAGUUGUCUACAGAAUAAAGAUAUUUGCGGAUUACUCCAUCUGUCUGUACCAAUAAAUCUUUGUACAUACAUAUGUUAUCCGUAUCAAUCAAACCAAGGCAUAUAUUUACUCUCCGUGUAAUGUAUCCAAGCUCUUGUGGAGGAACGCACUAGGCAUUUUGACUGCUACGGCCAAACGUUGCCGCUAUUAAAGUUACGACAGGUCUGCGAAUUAAAGUAA